CAAAAUGUCUUUUUGAGCUAAUUUUGAUGCCCUUAGUCCAUUUUUAGCCUCCAUUUAGUGUAAUUAUAAUGUUUUAACCUAGUUUUGUAGUUCGCCGCCACUUAAAUUUGCGAUUGGCAGAGAUCCAAUUGUCACAUCAUCACAAAAUUUUAAUAUGUUGUUCUAGAAGCAUAAUGAUAACCUUACAAAGUUAUGAAUCGAAAAUCCAACGUGCAGAUCUUCCAAAUCGAGUUACGUAGGAUUGUUGACUCUACCGUUGAUCAAGAGUUGACUUUCGGUCAACAUGUCCUGAAUCAUUCUAGAAUGUUGUAGAAGACGUAUACAAUUUAGAAUUAUGUUUUUUACCUCUAGAAUUUUGAGACGAGACUUGAUCUUUAUUCUAGGCAGUGAUUGUACGUGAUUGCCCUGAUCGUUGUUCAAGGGUUCAUUAGCACAGAUUCCAAGUAACUUUAAUAUAUGUGAUAUGGUUAUUACGCUGAAAGUCCCUAUGUUAGUAUCUUUAGGCCUCGUUGGACAGUUCGGACUGUAAUGAUUAUUUUAGUCGAAUAUAAUAAAUAGUCAUCGGAUAGUACUAAUUAAAUUAGCUGAGCGUUUGGUGCAAUAUCGGCUUAAUGACCGUAGUACUUAUACUAUGUUUGGUAUUGUAUCUGAUAAGAAAAAAAAGGAAAAAGAAUCAAAUUUUUGACAAGUCCCUGUUGUUUGUUGAGUUUUUAUAAUGUUCAUACCUAUUGAAAACCACACAAAUGUAUGAUAAUAGAGAAAAUAGUAAACUUCGUACAUCGAAUUCAAAAUAUUUACGAAGUCUGGCAACUACCUCACGAGGCAAAAUAUCGAAGAAAUAAAUGAUCACAGAAGGGAAAUACCCUAAACCUCUUCCCCUCUCCCCUCUCUCUCACACACAAACAAAUACAAACUCUACAUCUGAAAAAAAAAAUAAGGAUGAAGACAAUCAAUUGAAAACAUAACAAUUUAGUGUUGAAUUUUUCCAUUUACCUUAAAUUUUCAGAUUUGAGACAAAUGAGUGAUGCGAAAUAUAUAAGCACACAAAUUAAACCCUCUUUUUGUCAAUUGUAGUAAAGAAUGUAAGUAGGGAU
rnacentral:lncRNA from 1 species